AUUGAACGCUGGCGGCAUGCUUUACACAUGCAAGUCGAACGGUAACAGGCCUUCGGGUGCUGACGAGUGGCGAACGGGUGAGUAAUGCAUCGGAACGUGCCCAAUCGUGGGGGAUAACGUAGCGAAAGUUACGCUAAUACCGCAUAAGCCCUGAGGGGGAAAGCAGGGGAUCGCAAGACCUUGCGCGAAUGGAGCGGCCGAUGUCAGAUUAGCUAGUUGGUGGGGUAAAGGCCUACCAAGGCGACGAUCUGUAGCGGGUCUGAGAGGAUGAUCCGCCACACUGGGACUGAGACACGGCCCAGACUCCUACGGGAGGCAGCAGUGGGGAAUUUUGGACAAUGGGCGCAAGCCUGAUCCAGCCAUGCCGCGUGAGUGAAGAAGGCCUCGGU
rnacentral:rRNA from 1 species